rnacentral:rRNA from 1 species
UCCGGGAUCCGUUAUCGUGGAAUGGCUACUGUCUUAGGGACGGGAAUUAGGGUUCGAUUCUGGAGAAGGAGCCUGAGAACGGCUACUACAUCUACGGAAGGCAGCAGGCGCGUAAAUUACCCAAUCCUGACUCAGGGAGGUGGUGACAAGAUAUAACAACGCAAUUUAAUUGUGAUUGUAGUGAGGGUUUUCCAAACCGAACCACUAGUACGAUUAGAGGGCAAGUCUGGUGCCAGCAGCCGCGGUAAUUCCAGCUCUAAUAGCGUAUAUUAAAGUUGCUGCAGUUAAAAGCUCGUAGUUGGAUUUCAAGGAUUGUGUAUUCUUCUAGGGUAUGCACCCUACUAGUCUUUGACUGUUACUGUGAGAAAAUUAGAGUGUUUAAAGCAGCAAUUGCAGAAUACAUUAGCAUGGAAUAACGAAUGUAUCUAGAAUCUUGGUUAAUCUAGGCUCGACCAGCACGCGCCCGCCCGCGGCAUAGAUUUAAUUGCAGAGGUGACACUUCUUUGUAUUUGUUAAGACUACGUAUGCGAAGCAGGUGGCGAGGAUGUUUCAUCACUCACGACGAAAGAUAGGGGAUCAAGACAUCAGAUACUGUCGUAGUCUAUCUAUAACUAUGCCGACUAGGAUUGAUGAACAUCCCCAUUUCAGUACUUAUGAAAAUCAAGUCUUUGGGUUCUGGGGGGAGAUAUGUCCAAGACUGAACUAGAUGACGAGACCCAGAUGGACUGGGCUAUGACUCAACGGACUA